rnacentral:rRNA from 1 species
GAAUUCGAUUCGGUGUGACAAGGCCCGGGAACGUAUUCACCGCGGCGUGCUGAUCCGCGAUUACUAGCGAUUCCAACUUCAUGCAGGCGAGUUGCAGCCUACAAUCCGAACUGAGACAGGCUUUCUCCGAUUAGUUCCACCUUGCGGUCUCGCGACGGUUUGUACCUGCCAUUGUAGCACGUGUGUGGCCCCAGACAUAAAGGCCAUGCUGACUUGACGUCAUCCCCACCUUCCUCCGGUUUGUCACCGGCAGUCUCUUCAGAGUGCCCGGCAUAACCCGAUGGCAACAGAAGACAAGGGUUGCGCUCGUUGCGGGACUUAACCCAACAUCUCACGACACGAGCUGACGACAGCCAUGCAGCACCUCUACAGACGUCCUUGCGGAAGCCUACUUUCGUAGGAUGUCAUCUGCAGUUCAGGCCUGGGUAAGGUUCUUCGCGUUAAUCACUA